rnacentral:lncRNA from 12 species
UCAACUGCAGGCCCCUCAAACGGAGCUGUUUUCUGCAAACAAGACAAAACAAGGAAAUGAGCUAUCAUCCCUGCCUUUCAGUGCAGCACGUCCGCUGUCCUCUUGACAGAGUUAGUAUCCACUAUAUCAACAUCCUUGCACUUUUCUCAAGCUCUGGACUUCACUUUGCUUCAAACACAAAGCAAUAUGGUGAUGAAAGCAUUUAAGAACAGAUUAGGGAGCCCUGGCUUAGGAGUAGCCAGCAGCCAUAGAAGAAGGUGUUGCACAAAGUGGGAUGGAGAAAUGCCUGGA